rnacentral:rRNA from 1 species
UGGGGAAUAUUGCACAAUGGGGGAAACCCUGAUGCAGCAACGCCGCGUGAGUGAUGAAGGCCUUCGGGUUGUAAAGCUCUGUCUUCAGGGACGAUAAUGACGGUACCUGAGGAGGAAGCCACGGCUAACUACGUGCCAGCAGCCGCGGUAAUACGUAGGUGGCAAGCGUUGUCCGGAUUUACUGGGCGUAAAGGGAGCGUAGGCGGAUACUUAAGUGGGAUGUGAAAUACCCGGGCUCAACUCGGGUGCUGCAUUCCAAACUGGGUGUCUAGAGUGCAGGAGAGGAAAGUGGAAUUCCUAGUGUAGCGGUGAAAUGCGUAGAGAUUAGGAAGAACACCAGUGGCGAAGGCGACUUUUCUUGGACUGUAACUGACGCUGAGGCUCGAAAGCGUGGGGGAGCAAACA